rnacentral:tRNA from 2 species
GGGAGUGUCGCCUAAUGGAUGGGCACCGGUCUUCUAAAUCGGCUUGUGUAGGUUCGAGCCCUACCACUCCUGCCA